rnacentral:tRNA from 1 species
GAGGGUAUAGCUCAAGUGGUAGAGCACACGCUUAGCAUGCACAAGGUCCUGGGUUCAAUCCCCAGUACCUCCU